rnacentral:rRNA from 1 species
CACGUAGGGCGCGAGCGUUGUCCGGAAUUAUUGGGCGUAAAGAGCUCGUAGGCGGCCUGUUGCGUCCGCUGUGAAAGCCCGGGGCUUAACCCCGGGUCGGCAGUGGAUACGGGCAGGCUAGAGGUAGGGGAGAAUGGAAUUCCUGGUGUAGCGGUGAAAUGCGCAGAUAUCGGGAGGAACACCGGUGGCGAAGGCGGUUCUCUGGGCCUUACCUGACGCUGAGGAGCGAAAGCGUGGGGAGCGAACAGG